CUCUGCAGUUUCUUGCCUUACUUUUAUUUCAAUGGUGUGUUGUGCUGUGUAGUCUCAUUUCAGGGGGGCCUUUGUCUGUCUUUCAGAAGUGGAUCAGCUUUUCACAGUAUUUGAAGAAAUGUCCUUUCCCCUGAUGUUCUCUGCUGUUUCUACAGGCAGCCUGAAUGCCUGUAGAAGGAGAGACGGUAGAGAAACCAGCUCUGUGACCUACCAGCUCUCUGUUCAUCUGCAAGUGCUCCAGCUUGGCAGCAUCUCCACUCCACAUUGAGAAAUGUACUCUGAGCGAGCAAAGAGAGUUACUGAAGGCCAGGAAGAGCUUUCUCACCGAAAUAGCUCCUGGGACAGGAAACAGCUGCAAAUUUUUCUCCUUCCCAGAGACUAGUGAAGAUUAG